rnacentral:tRNA from 1 species
GCCGGGGUAGCUCAGCCUGGUUGGAGCGCUCGACUCAUAACGAGAAAACAACGUUGUGAGUUCUGAUUCACGAGAUGAUGUGAGAAAUCGAGAGGUCCGGGGUUCAAUUCCCCGCCCCGGCA